UCUCCGUAGGUGAACCUGCGGAGGGAUCAUUACAGAGUUCAUGCCCUAACGGGUAGAUCUCCCACCCUAUGUUAUCAUCACUUUGUUGCUUUGGCGGGCCGUCAGGCCUCGGCUUGGCUUCAGGCUCUCGCUGGUAAGCUCCCACCAGAGAACCCUAUACACUGAAUAUCAGUGUCGUCUGAUUACUAUAUAAUAGUUAAAACUUUCAACAACGGAUCUCUUGGUUCUG
rnacentral:misc_RNA from 1 species